rnacentral:rRNA from 1 species
UAGGGAAUAUUGGACAAUGGGGGAAACCCUGAUCCAGCAAUGCCGCGUGAGUGAAGAAGGCCUUAGGGUUGUAAAGCUCUUUCGCCCGCGAAGAUAAUGACGGUAGCGGGAGAAGAAGCCCCGGCUAACUCCGUGCCAGCAGCCGCGGUAAUACGGAGGGGGCUAGCGUUGUUCGGAAUUACUGGGCGUAAAGCGCGCGUAGGCGGCUUUCUAAGUCAGGGGUGAAAUCCUGGAGCUCAACUCCAGAACUGCCUUUGAUACUGGAGAGCUUGAGUUCGGGAGAGGUGAGUGGAACUGCGAGUGUAGAGGUGAAAUUCGUAGAUAUUCACAAGAACACCAGUGGCGAAGGCGGCUCACUGACCCGAUACUGACGCUGAGGUGCGAAAGCGUGGGGAGCAAACA